rnacentral:rRNA from 1 species
AUUGAACGCUGGCGGCAGGCCUAACACAUGCAAGUCGAGCGGAUGAAGGGAGCUUGCUCCUGGAUUCAGCGGCGGACGGGUGAGUAAUGCCUAGGAAUCUGCGUGGUAGUGGGGGAUAACGUCCGGAAACGGGCGCUAAUACCGCAUACGCCCUGAGGGAGAAAGUGGGGGAUCUUCGGACCUCACGCUAUCAGAUGAGCCUAGGUCGGAUUAGCUAGUUGGUGGGGUAAAGGCCUACCAAGGCGACGAUCCGUAACUGGUCUGAGAGGAUGAUCAGUCACACUGGAACUGAGACACGGUCCAGACUCCUACGGGAGGCAGCAGUGGGGAAUAUUGGACAAUGGGCGCAAGCCUGAUCCAGCCAUGCCGCGUGUGUGAAGAAGGUCUUCGGAUUGUAAAGCACUUUAGGUUGGGAGGAAAGGCAGUAAGUUAAUACCUUGCUGUUUUGACGUUACCAACAGAAUAAGCACCGGCUAACUUCGUG